CAUUUACUGACAUACAAGGGGUGUAAGUUAUCUCAUUUAAUCGCAUUUUCUGACAUACAAGGGGUGCAGGUUAUCUCAUUUAUCACAUUUACUGACAAACAAGGGGUGUAGGUUAUCUCAUUUAUCACAUUUACCGACAUACAAGGGGUGCAGGUUAUCUCAUUUAUCACAUUUACUGACAUACAAGGGGUGUAGGUUAUCUCAUUUAUCACAUUUACUGACAUACAAGGGGUGCAGGUUAUCUCAUUUAUCACAUUUACUGACAUACAAGGGGUGCAGGUUAUCUCAUUUAUCACAUUUACUGACAUACAAGGGGUGCAGGUUAUCUCAUUUAUCACAUUUACUGACAUACAAGGGGUGCAGGUUAUCUCAUUUAUCACAUUUACUGACAUACAAGGGGUGCAGGUUAUCUCAUUUAUCACAUUUACUGACAUACAAGGAGUGCAGGUUAUCUCAUUUAUCAUAUUUACCGACAAACAAGGGGUGUAGGUUAUCUCAUUUAUCACAUUUACCGACAUACAAGGGGUGCAGGUUAUCUCAU